rnacentral:rRNA from 1 species
GAUGAACGCUGGCGGCGUGCCUAAUACAUGCAAGUCGAGCGAACAGACGAGGAGCUUGCUCCUCUGACGUUAGCGGCGGACGGGUGAGUAACACGUGGAUAACCUACCUAUAAGACUGGGAUAACUUCGGGAAACCGGGGCUAAUACCGGAUAAUAUAUUGAACCGCAUGGUUCAAUAGUGAAAGACGGUUUUGCUGUCACUUAUAGAUGGAUCCGCGCCGCAUUAGCUAGUUGGUAAGGUAACGGCUUACCAAGGCAACGAUGCGUAGCCGACCUGAGAGGGUGAUCGGCCACACUGGAACUGAGACACGGUCCAGACUCCUACGGGAGGCAGCAGUAGGGAAUCUUCCGCAAUGGGCGAAAGCCUGACGGAGCAACGCCGCGUGAGUGAUGAAGGUCUUCGGAUCGUAAAACGCUGUUAUUAGGGAAGAACAAAUGUGUAAGUAACUAUGCACGUCUUGACGGUACCUAAUCAGAAAGCCACGGCUAACUACGU